UCCCUGGUGGUCCAGUGGUUAGGACUCUGUGCUUCCACUGCAGGGGGUAUGGGUGCCAUUCCUGGUCAGGGAA
rnacentral:tRNA from 1 species